rnacentral:rRNA from 1 species
GGGGAAUAUUGCACAAUGGGGAAACCCUGAUGCAGCGACGCCGCGUGGAGGAUGACGGCCUUCGGGUUGUUAACUCUUUUUGUCAGGGACAAUCGUGAUGGUACCUGACGAAUAAGCCACGGCUAACUCUGUGCCAGCAGCCGCGGUAAGACAGAGGUGGCGAGCGUUGCUCGGAAUUACUGGGCUUAAAGGGCGCGUAGGCGGUGGUGUAAGUCUGGGGUGGAAUGCUACAGCUCAACUGUAGAGCUGCCUUGGAAACUGCAUUACUUGAGUCGGUGAGGGGAAGGCGGAAUUCCUGGUGUAGCGGUGAGAUGCGUAGAUAUCAGGAGGAAGGUCUGAGGCGAAGGCGGCCUUCUGGCACUUGACUGACGC